GACAGUUUGGCCGAGUGGUCUAAGACGCUAGCUUCAGGCGCUAGUGGCUCCGAAAGGGCGCGAGUUCAAAUCUCGCAGCUGUAA